UGAGGAGUGACCGGUCCAAAGAUCUACCUCUACAUUUCAGUGGUGAACCUGGACCAACGAGAGGUCAGAGGUCACAGUCUGCAGGAUCCAGCUGUCCGUCUGUGAGGAGUGACCAGUCCAAACCUGAACCUCCAAAGUUUAGUGGUGAACCUGGAGCAACGAGAGUGGACCAGCAGAGCUCAGAGGUUCCCAGUGGUCAGUCUGCCCAGCAGCAUCAAACA